AUAAACGUAUGUACAGAUUAUGCGUGAAUUUUUUUUUAAAUUUAUGAAUGAGACGCAUGGCUACUGUAGAACACUUCUGCCCUGACACCGAAAGUCUGAUUUUCUGCAGCCCGUAAAACAUGAGUAUAUUGCGACUAACAUGGUCACCGAAGCCAAUGACCUUCCUCACCAUUCCACUCUGAAGCGUCACGUGUUACGUUCCAGGCCACUGAGUGAGCUCCCUGAUCCAGAAGACUCGGCUGUUAGCAUUCGAAACUGUGUACUUUAUGUCGCAAAGGAUGAGAUAAGUGCUCGUAGGAUUUAUCCCUGAUAUCAUAUACAGGCCUAUAUUAAGAUUGAUUGCUCUAUUUGUGUACUGUUAUUAAUCAUUAUCUGCCGACCCGGCUUGUCUUGAUGUGGAUUAAUGAGUCAUGAGAUCAAGGGGUGCAUAUGGAGACAGUUCCUCCUCCUACCCUUGAUUCCCAUAAUCUCUUUAUGAAUCAUCCAUAAAGUUUGUCGCAAACAAUCUGGAUUAAUUUGAAAGACUGACAUUACAAAUAGCGGAGCAUGACGUUACAAAACUACGUAUAAGAUAUGAGGGUCUCGGUGUUGGUGUUCUGUGUUGUAACGCAGUGUGGACUUGUAGGCUGAUACCACGGUUUCAGAGGAACAUACUGUCUCCAUCUUCAGGGGUGUACAUGAAUGUAUUGACCUCUUAUUUCUCCUCUGUGGAGGCCUGUGUCUUCAUCCACUUCGAAUCGAACACAUUUUAUGCAUAUUUAAUUAUUUAUAUGUUCCUCAAAUUUAAAGUUUCCUGUGUCCGCGUUUAGCAACUGCUGUGUAAAUUAAAAAUAAUCACGUGUCAUACAAAUUCAACUGCAGAGCACUGCACGCGUCGUUAGUGGCAUCGAAGUAGUCGAAACUACCAUUCACUGAGACGGUGCCGGAUUGAAACUGUUUAAGAGAAAUGCAUAAUUAGUUAGUUUAUUUUGCUUCUUACUUCUUAGAAAAGCAAACAGAUACUUCUCUGUGAAUAUGGCGGUUUCAUAGACUGCCCCGCAGUUAGACAAUAACAGUGGAUCUCCUCUUACACACGUUACGUUUCUUCCCCGAAUCGAUUAAGUUACCGAUAUGGUAAUUUUACCGACUGGCCUAGCAGUACAUUAGUUUCCUGUGUCUUCACAAGUUCUAUCAACAUUAAAAUAACCGAUUCGAGCUGGCCCCGCAGGACAAGUCGACUGAACGCGUCAGAUUAACCGAAUUAUGUUUAAAGACACAUGGAAAGGCAUAGAAUACUCUACACGUUUGUUUAUUUACUGUACGGUGGUCAAAUCAGCCAGCUGUAAAUCGCCUUCCUUUCAGUGCCCGUCGUUACUUCUGAAAACUGUUUCAGCGGCUACAGUUCAACACGCCACCGCCACCAGCCGCAGGUUCGUAUCCACAAGCCACUCCAGUUGGUCAAGGUUAGAAGAGGCAAACAGUUCCAGCACAAUCAGUGUAAUUGUUCAUCACGUGUUACGCAGUUCACUCAAGAAUUAUAAUUUGACCUCUGCAGUGUCUAAUUUCAAGAUACACCAUGGGACAAUAAGGAUGUAAGACGCGACAGAAGCUGAAUGAAUGUCAUGUCACUGACACGAAGACUGAGUGGGGCGGGUGGGGGUUCCGUCACUAAACGACUUACUGCCUGCUUCGGCUCGUUUGAUCCUAUCUCAGCAUGUGGCUGAGAGAGACAACACAGGGCUGUCUUAAGAGACUUCAGAUCGGUACGAUCAAAGUAAAGUGCAGUCGGCACUUGGAGCCGACUAAUUCAAGACGGUGGCAUAGUUUUUCAGCAAGACACGCAAUAAGCUGCAAGCAGACAUGUACCGACUGUCUCGACUUCCUGUGUCUGGCACUGGGCGGCUGAAGAGAUAAUACGCUUUGAAAAUAGGCUACAUGUCUGGAAGUGGGAAGAAUUUCAGACUUUUAAAUGCAUGCUAACAGACAAAUGUAACCUACAAGUGCACCAUAAUAUACAGAAAGUAGUGACAGUGAAUAUCACAAUAUACCUAGUGAGUAAACGCGUACUGAAGUCGUGUAGUACUGGACGAAGGCCUCUCAACUGGAAUGCCCUAAUUCUUACAUAAACCCGCUGAAAUCCGAUUAACAUUUUCACAUUUCCUCAAGACCCAAUUUGAUUUUUCAUUUUUUUUCACUUCCGACGUAGGGUUUAAAACACUUUCCAAGAGACAUCAAGAUAAAAUAGGCAAUGGUGGAUUUAUGUUCCUUUUCACAAUACAUAGGCGACUUAACUGGAGUAGUAUCUGUUGAUAUUUUCCAGUUUUAUUUGUAGUUUACUAAUUUAAUUUUUUAUUGUGGUUCGGUGAAGUUUUAAU